CAUAAACAUAAAGGUAUUAGCCAUGGAUUAUAUUUUUUUCUAUCACAUGUUGUGUUGAAUGUGAUUUUUAUACACCUUUAAAUCUUCAACAUUUUCUUGUUUUCUACUUCAUUUGUUAAACGCAUCAUUACUUAAUGCACUUCUCUAUUGUUAUGGUAAUACUAUAUAUUAAAUAGUCGUCACUAAUCUGGAUAUUUCUCUGCAGAGACAGACUUGAGAAUGGCGGCUAAAGCAGUGUCUGGACUGGUUCUUUUGAUUGCUGUAACUGUAGUCUGUCAAGGUAUUUAUUGAACUUCAAAACUAACUAGACAAAUUUAAAAAUAAUAAUUUUCGGUGAUUAAAUUGGUUAAAAAAAUUGUAAAAUACCGAAAUAAAUUUCGCGUUUCAUUUGAGCAUUUCGAAAUAAGGUACUUUUCCUUAAGUUGCUCACUCAUAGAGUCAUUGUGACACUCAUAACGUUGUUAAAACUUACUAGAUUGUAAAUAUAGAAAAUUUUACAUUUUUUAAACACCAUACACAUAUUCAUAGAAUAAAAUGCUUUUCUCUGUUGCGUCAUGUUUUGAAUCAAUUAAAUGUUUAGAAUCUGCAGUCAAGCAGUAUGCACGCACGAUCUGAUUGUUCAAAUUUACAUUUCAAACUUAUACCCUUGAAAACACUGAAGUAACAUAAGCAUUGCUAUAUGAAAAUUCCACAGAAGCGCAUCAUGCUACAUUAGGGAACGACCAUUUUGUUUUCUAGUUGGGAUGGUGGUUGCAGAAUGAAAAUUAAUCCUCAGAAGAAAAAAGACAUGCAUAGCAACAUGUGAAAAAUAAAAAAUCUGUUCAUAAGAUGGUAUUUUUAUCGACAGUCGAAAUUUGAACUCAGCUAUACAUAUGUUACAGUUUUACAAUUUUUCAAAUUAUUGUAAUGACCUAUAUUAUUGCAUGUGUUUCUCCUGAUUACUUUUUACACCAAAAACGAGAGACAUAUUUGCCACUGGAAGUUAAGCAUACACCAAUCAACCAAUCAGUCGUUUGUUUUUAAAUACCCGUAUAUCAAACUGAGAAGUACAUGUUGUGAAUUUAUUAUCGUGUUUUUUGGCUCAUUUUGACAUUUUGUAAUUAUUAACUCGAACAGAUCUUAUCCAUGUAAAUAUUGUUGGUUUGAAAUUCAGUAACAAAUUUCCUUCAAAGAACUUGAAGGCUAAAAUACACGUUUCGAUGUUUUUUUUUUCUAUAUAAAUAAUUCAUAUUUGAUAUUUUACAACGAUUCACACAAUUUGUAAGGACACUCACCAUCUUGAACAUGAAGAUAUUUUUUUGCAGAGCCCAAAUGAGGUGCCAUAAUAACAUACCUGCCAACUUUUGAAAAUGGUCAUGGGGGUUUUUGUGCGCGGCACCAUUUUUGAGGGUAGAAUUUUUCGCGGCAUUUUUUCGUGUGAUGAUUUUGCUCCUUAAAGUGGCUGACGUACUUCUUUUUUGGGGGGUGAUAGUUGAAGAUGCUAUUAUAACCUAUCUUUUUUUAAUUGUUUGAUUGUUGUAUUCUUUUUUGUUGAGAUAAACACCAGUAAGAUGACUUAUGUUUGUCUGAUACAUUGUCAAGAAAUAAAAAAAAAGUAAUAAUUUUAAUAAUUUAAUAACAAAAAAAAACCAACAAUAUAUGAGGGUCUGGAAUGGGGGGUCUGUGUUCUGUAAACAUUUAAUUUUCACCCCUUUUUUCUCUAAUCUUCAAAAAAUUAACCUCUUUUUUCUCUAAUCUUCAAAAAAUUUGACCACGCAUUUCUCAAAUUUUCAUUUUUUUUUGCCCGUUAUUCCCUUAUCUUCAUUUUUUAAGGGCAUUAUAUUCUCUAAUAAUUUAACCCCAUCCAAACCCUCAUAUAUUAUAUAGAUCAAUAUCACAAGAAGUACUAGAAUGUUUGGAGACAUCAUUAAGGCCACCGUGGUCAACUUUAAAUCUCUGUUGCAAACUUUACAAAAGGCAUGUGACAAUCCUAACGUUGAUUUAGACAACCAGCCCCUGUACUUGACAUCAAUAUUUCCCAUUUCUCUAUUAAAGUAUUUGCACGAAGCAACACGCUUUUUUUUCUUAGGCGGUGACAGAACUAUUUUGCAAGUGAUAACUCGCCCAUCAUGAUUCCAAUCUUUAUAAAUUUAACACCAAGCUAAAAAAAAACUCAAAUUUCGAUUCUUUGAUGUUUACUAUGCGACAUUAAUCAACUGGUGAAUGCGUGAUCACUAAAUUUUGAUUGGAUGAAAUUUGUCAGACACGAUUUGUCUCCCUUGGGAAAACUUUCAAAAGUUCAAAAUCGGGAACAAAAAUAUUUUGCAGAGCCCAUAAUAUAAAUAAACUUUAUGACACAAUACGAAAUCCAACAACAAACCGUAUAGUCCAAUAAAAAGGGCCGAUAUGACAAAAGUGACAUAAUUUAAACGAAAAACAAAAGACUGACAACAACUGAUUAUAUUUACAAGCACUGAAUUACGGGCUCCUGACUUGGGAAAAGCGCAUUUAUAUCCUACCGUAGUCUAAAAUCGUUCAUCUUGUCAGUUCGUUAGGUAUUGUGUUUGAACUUAACACACGGGGAAACUCCGCAUUGACGUCACUACGCUACUUCCGGCGUAGAAAAACAAGUAGAUACGUUUUUUCUGCACUUUUGAAUAAAAAAAACAUUUCUGAAGGUAAGUUUUCAUUGUUGUUCUCAAUUAUUGAUAAAAAAUGCCAAAUUUCUAAUGCCCGUUUCAAUCCCGACCUCCGAAUGUCUAAAAACAUUCUAGAAUUCACAAAAUCCCAUUCCGGCCUCCAUUGCUUUGUGUACAUUCCAUCAGCGUCAUCAAUUUGUGGCAGGAUACAGGUCAAGCAAAUCUUAUUUUUUGGAAUUUAAAAUGACAUGCUCCUUACGUUUUUCGCGAUUUUCCCGCGAAAAAAAGCCCAACCAAAAUGAAAGGAAACUAAUUGAAAAAACUAUGCCCAUGCCAAAUUUGUACAGGAGUAUAGAUAGGUUAAUGAAAAAUAAUUUACAUUUAAUUUUUCAUAGAAUUUUCUUUUUAUUCAUUAUAAAAGAUCGAUAUUCUGACCAUCAUGACUGUAGAUAAAUAUUCAUACAGAAUUCCAUUGAUGUCAAAAAGGGAUGGCAAAAAAAGAGUUCCUGUUGAAUAAAACCCAAAUUUAUUGCAAACUAUUUUGGAGCAAUAUCCCACAAAGAAAUAGCGUAAUUGCCGUAGACUGGAAAAUCCCCUAAUUGACAGUAGAGCAAUUUGAUUGGGUAGAACGAAAUGACAUCACGUGAUUUUGACGCCAUUGAAAUUUAAAUGUAAACAAACAAGGUCAGAAGGUUCAGUAUGGGACAGCAUCGUACAUUUAGUUCUGACAAAUAAUUAUGAGUUCCAAGCUUGACAAUGCAUGGUGAUAAAAAUGAAAGCUAAGUGUACAGAAAAAAUAAGAAAAAAAUAGCCUUAGGAUAACGACUUAUCAUUACACCUGGAUAUGUGACAUAUGUGGUGGGAUAAACAUGUCUGUAGCGGUCAGCCUAAGAUAGUGGUGUAGCAGCACACCAUUAGAACGAAUUGUAAACAUUCGUUGGAUAUGGUUUGACUAAUGAAAUUGACAUUAAGUGUUUUUUUGUAAAAAUCUUAAUUUGAGUUUUUCUCGAGUUGAUCAAAUGUAACAUAUUCUUUUGCGUUGCGAUGACAUAAUGUUAUGUGUUUUUGUUUACGUGAAAAUCAUUUUGUAAAUGCAAAUGCUAAUCUAGGUGCAUAUAAUUUUAUACUUAUAUUAUGUAUUUAAUACCGUUUGAUCGUUUCAUGGCAAAUGAGAUCCUGUUAUUUACUUGAAUUAAAAAAAUAUAAUCCUGAAAAAGGAAUGUGUCAAAUUUGUCCUAACAUCUUUUGUUAUAGGAGCUUAAAUUCAGCCGGCAAUAAUAAAGUCAGUACAGGAUGUUUCAGUUAUAUUGAACGAGUAAAUGUAAUAAUAUUACUUUUUAACGAAAAUCCAAAUCAUAAAAUAAGUAUUACGAAGUACAACACAAGUUGCGCUUUUUAAAAUUAAUGUGACAUUGCCCCAUCAUGGUAGCAAGCUAUGUCGAAAAGUAGAACGAAAUCGAUGAAUAGUCAAGUCAUUAUGUACCAUUUAAUCAGAAUUAUUGCAUACAUAUAAGAUAUUUAAGUUUUGCUGUAAUUAAUCUCUUUUCAAAGAAUAGUGGAAAUCAUAUAUGCCGAGCGGAGCGAGGCUAAAAAGAUUUGAAGGGUUUUGGAGCCGCUGAAGGCCACAAGAAACUAUAGAACUAAUGAUGUAAAAUCUUGCUCUUUAGGUGUUUCCCAGACCCUUUCUUAAUAUGAAAAUGAAAGUUCUGUUUUAAUAUUUUUUUGAUCUCAAAGCAACAUGUACAUGUAUGUAGAUUCAGUGUAAGACUUGCGCUUUUUAGGGACAACAUCAAAAGACCAAUAUGUAGGAUAAAGCAAAACUUUCUGCGUUUUUUUUUUAAAACUCAUGAUCAAGUUAAUAAGAAAAUUACUUAAUUACAAAAGGAAUGCAACACUAACAGAAUACAGAAGGGCAAUCAAUAACAAAAGACAAAUAAAAAAGUAACAUUGAUCCCGAAAAAAACAGGAGAUAUGUCUGAGAGAGUAAUUUAUGGUAACGAAAUCCGUAUCUUGAUAAUUUACCAGUGAUGCAUUGAUUACGUUCGUUAAAAUCUAUGACAUCACUACACACACACGCAUACCGAACGAGUUGGGAUAUAUAAACACCGUAUGAUGGAACCAAAGGUACACACAUGUUUAUCCCCGCCACAUUUGUUAUGUCCCUGUCCCAAGUUAAGACCCUGUAGUUAUGUUAUUUUCGUAGGUUUAUGUCUGUCAUAUUUGUUUUUCGUAAAUUGUUAAGUUAUCAAUAAGUUGGUGUACUGGUUUCAAUUGUUUCAUAAUUUUCAUGUCGCACCUUUAAUAUCGGACUGUAUGGUAUGGAUUUUUCUGAUUGUUGAAGUCCAUAUGGUUGCCUACUGUUAUAAUUGCAUAUCCACUUAGUUUGAACUUUGGUGGAUUGUUGUCUCAUUUAACUUAAUACUACAGCUCCUUAUUUUUAUAAUAUUUAUCAUCAAUCCGUUAUUAAAAUAAGGGGAAUCGACCAUUACCAAGAAUUAUUUAUGAUCAUGUUUUUCAUCCGACUGAAAGAUAUGAAAAAUUGAAGAAUGAUGCAAAUGUCAUUUAUUGGAUGAGUUGCCAGGUCUUGUUAAAAUUGAUAACCAGUUCAGAAGUUUAAUAAAAAAAUAAAAUGUCCACUUUGGUUCGAAAUGAAACAGCAUUUGAGAUGCUUGCUGGUCGACUGAUAUGUACAAAUAUAUAGAGAGGCAAAAAUCUCAAAUGCUGUUUGUCGGUAACUUCGACAUAUAUUACAAGUAAAACAAUUAAAAUAAACGUUUAAUGAAAAAUUAAUAAAAAUUAAACUACAUGGGGGUCAUUCGGUAUACUCCCACUCAGGGGCACCCAAAGGGUACCCUGUCCACAAGUACCUGUGGUAGGAUGAAGAGAUCUUACUUCGGUUCGUUUACAUCUAAAUUGACCAACAACUGACCUACAAUUGGAGUCAUUGCCUUAAAAAACGACAUUUAUUAAAAAAAUAUAUCAUGAGAUUGAAAACAGAAUUAUUUGACAAGAAUUUUUUCAAGGAGUUACGCCCCUUCGAACUUAUUUGUUUCAAUAUACUACUGCAACAGUUUGUCAUCGCAACUCCUCUCAAAUCACACAACAGAAUUUCAUGAAACCUUUUCAUUCUAUGUAUGUAGAUGUGCAUAUCGACAGGAAAUUACGAUUCAAUUUUUUUUCCAGGAGUUACGCUCCUUUGAACUUAUUUGCUUCAAUAUACUACUGCAACAGUUUUUUGUCAUCGCAACUCCUCUCAAACCACACAAGAGAAUUUCAUGAAACCUUUUUAGAUAAUAAGGACAUACAUUGUACUAUGUAGAUGUGCAUAUCGACAGGAAAUUACGAUUCAAUUUUUUUUUCUAGGAGUUACGCUUUUUUGAACCUAUUUGCUUCAAUAUACUACUGCAGCAGUUUGUCAUCGCAACUCCUCUCAUCCCACACAAGAGAAUUUCAUGAAAUUUUUUUAGAUAACAAGGACAUAGUAUUUUGGAGAUGUGCAUAUCGACAGGAAAUUAUGAGUCAAUUUUUUUUCUUUCAGUUAUUUUUUUUUCUCAAGUAACAAUGUGGGGACGUGGGGUAUGUGAGCACGCUAACUAAAAGGUUCUUUACUUGUUUUUUGUUUUCAGUAACAGAACAAACAUGCGGGAAUGACCAGUGUAAAAGUAGGAAAGGAGGCUGUUAUGAUAAUCAAGAGGAGUGGAUGGAGGGGUGUACAAAGAAAAUAUGUAUAGUAGAAGAACAUGGUUGGAGAACAGAAAUAGUCAAGAUAC
rnacentral:lncRNA from 1 species